CGCCGCGCCGGGUCCUCCCCGCCCUCCCCCCCGCUCCCCGCGCGCCCCGUCCUCGGACACCAUGCUGGCUGUGCACUUUGAGCAGCCCGGCGGCCCCCAAGUCCUCCACCUGAAGGAGGUGGCCAAGCCCAGGCCCGCGGAGGGCGAAGUCCUCCUGAAGGUGGCGGCCAGCGCCCUGAACCGGGCGGACUUACUCCAGAGACAGGGCCAAUACGACCCACCCCCAGGAGCCAGCAGCAUUUUGGGACUGGAAGCAUCAGGACAUGUGGCAGAGUUGGGGCCUGGUUGCCAGGGGCACUGGAAGAUUGGAGACUCAGCCAUGGCGCUGCUGCCUGGCAGAGGCCAGGCACAGUACGUCACCGUCCCUGAAGAACUGCUCAUGCCCAUCCCAGAGGGUUUGACAAUGCCACAGGCUGCAGCCAUCCCAGAGGCCUGGCUCACUGCCUUCCAGCUGUUACAUCUCUGUGGACAUGUUCAGGCUGGAGACUCUGUAUUAAUCCACGCGGGAUCAAGUGGGGUGGGCACAGCUGCCAUUCAACUGGCUCGGAAGGCUGGUGCUAUUCCUCUGGUCACAGCUGGCUCCCCGCACAAGCUUCACCUGGCAGAAAGACUCGGGGCAGCUGCUGGAUUCAAUUACAAACAAGAGGAUUUCGCUGAAGCAACACUGAAGUUCACCAAAGGUGCUGGAGUUAACCUUAUCCUAGACUGCAUAGGUGGAUCUUACUGGGAGAAGAAUGUCAACUGUCUGGCCCUUGAUGGUUGCUGGGUUCUCUACGGUCUGAUGGGAGGAGCUGAUAUCAGUGGACCCCUAUUUUCAAAGUUACUUUUUAAACGAGGAAGUCUGAUCACUAGUCUGCUGAGAUCUAGGGACAAAAAGGUGAGUAAUGAGUGGGAAAAAAAGUGACAUAAACCAAUCACGAGGGGCUCAACACCUGUAAUCUCAGUACUCAGGAGGCCAAGAUAAGAGAAUAGGGGUUUGAAAUCAGGCGGACAGAUAAAUCCAAGAGAUUCUUAUCUCCAGUCAACUAGUAAAAAGCAGGAACUGGAGAUGUGCCUCAGAUGGUAGAGAAUGAAAAGGCUGAGCAAGCUCAAGAGUUCAAACCCCAGUACCAGCACACACAGAGUGAUAUAACUAUUACCCCUCCCACACCAAAGGCUUCAUUUGCAUUAUGCCCCAAAAUAAGCUUUGUCACAUCUUAAGUUAUCCUUUGAAGAAACCUGCCACUUAAUGGAUAAAUACAUAGAUUUCAGAGAACUGAUUCAAAUUGGUCAAUAGAAGCUUCAAGCAUAGC